rnacentral:misc_RNA from 1 species
UGGAAGAUGAAAUGGCAGCAGCAAAAGGUGAGAUUUUGCGGCUACGGAGCCAAAUAAACUCAGUAAAAGCUCCAGUGGAGGAUGAGGAAAAAGUUGUUGCUGGGGAAAAGGAAAAGGUGAAGGCAACAGUAACAGCAAAGAAAACUACCAGGAGAAGGAAGAGUGCUACUGUUAAGCAAGAGGAACCCUAGUUGGCUGUUUCUGAAUGACAUAAUCUUCUUCUUUUUUUGUCCCUGACUCAUUUGUUUGCAAUAUUUAUAGAGAGGCCAGAAUUAGGACAUUGCCAUUGGAACAAGCUGUGUAUUGUCUCUUUGAGUGUACAUUUCCCGGCGAGAAGUUGCAGAAACAAAUGACUGAUCUCUUGAUAUUCAGUCAAUGUUGCAGCUUUCAUGAAUGAAA